rnacentral:rRNA from 1 species
AUUGAACGCUGGCGGCAGGCCUAACACAUGCAAGUCGAGCGGAGCGGCGGACGGGUGAGUAAUGCCUAGGAAUCUGCCUGGUAGUGGGGGAUAACGUCCGGAAACGGGCGCUAAUACCGCAUACUAUCAGAUGAGCCUAGGUCGGAUUAGCUAGUUGGUGGGGUAAAGGCCUACCAAGGCGACGAUCCGUAACUGGUCUGAGAGGAUGAUCAGUCAAGCUGGAACACAGACAAGGUCACGACUCCUACGGGAGGCAGCGGUGGGGAAUAUUGGACAAUGGUCGAAAGCCUGAUCCAGCCAUGCCGCGUGAGUGAAGAAGGUCUUCGGAUUGUCAAGCACUUUAAGUUGGGAGGCGUUACCUACAGAAUAAGCACCGGCUAACUCCGUGCCAGCAGCCGCGAUAAUUC